GAACUCGGCAGAUGGCUCUAAGAGAGAGCGGGACAGAUGAAUUGAGGUACAUCGCAAUGAAAGCUACAGAGGUGUAUUCAUCCACAUGGGGAUGAACUCGCUGUGAAACAGCAGAGAAGAAGAGAUGGUAAUGAACCAAGAAGUCCAAAACGGACGGCGAAAAACAUGUACCCAGCAUCAAAGUUAAUUAUUAGUAGUAUCCUGCACAAAAGAUCGCAAAGCUGAAGGCCAUGAAGUAGAUAGUGUGAAGGAAUUCUGACACCUUGAAAGCAAAAUAACACGUAGCAGAUGAAAUAAGGAGAAAGUAUAAAACAUAAAGGUAGACUAGUCUAAGGUAAUCAUUUCUGGCCAAAGGAAGUCUGCUAGUAUCAGUUCUGAGUGAGUAUGUGUGGAGUGCAGUGUUAUAUGGAAAUGAAUCAUGGGCUGUGGGAAAACUGGUGUUUGAGGUAGGGUGCUAUAGAAAGAUAUUAGAUGGAGUGAUAAGAUUAAAACAUGAGAAGGUUGCCUGGAGAACUGGUGAGGAGAGGAACAUGUGGCAAACACUGACAGCAAGAAGGUAUAAGAUGGUGGGACCUGUGUUAAGACAUCCAACAAAUCAUUGAGGACAAUUGGUGUUAAGUGCCACUUUGAGAUGAAGAAGUUGAUACAGGAGAGGAAUUUUGCAGCAGGUCACACAUCAAACCUCUCAAAAGACCGAUGUCUCAUCUGCUUCCUGCAAAGAACAGAAGGUCCCUACAAUUUCUGACAUACAGGUAUUUGUAAGAGUUGUCUGGUUCCA